rnacentral:rRNA from 1 species
CCUACGGGAGGCAGCAGUGAGGAAUAUUGGUCAAUGGACGGAAGUCUGAACCAGCCAUGCCGCGUGCAGGAAGACGGCUCUAUGAGUUGUAAACUGCUUUUGUACAAGGGUAAACCUGAAUACGUGUAUUCAGCUGACAGUACUGUACGAAUAAGGAUCGGCUAACUCCGUGCCAGCAGCCGCGGUAAUACGGAGGAUCCAAGCGUUAUCCGGAUUUAUUGGGUUUAAAGGGUGCGUAGGCGGAUUGAUAAGUUAGUGGUGAAAUGUCCGAGCUUAACUCGGGAACUGCCUCUAAUACUGUUGGUCUAGAGAGUAGAUGCGGUAGGCGGAAUGUAUGGUGUAGCGGUGAAAUGCUUAGAGAUCAUACAGAACAUCGAUUGCGAAGGCAGCUUACCAAUCUAUAUCUGACGUUGAGGCACGAAAGCGUGGGGAGCAAACAGGAUUAGAUACCCCAGUAGUC